rnacentral:tRNA from 1 species
GUCGGGAUAGCUCAGCCGGUAGAGCAGAGGACUGAAA